rnacentral:rRNA from 2 species
GGGCAACCCUGAUCCAGCCAUGCCGCGUGAGUGAAGAAGGCCUUCGGGUUGUAAAGCUCUUUCGGCGGGGAAGAAAUGGCAACGGCUAAUAUCCGUUGUUGAUGACGGUACCUGACUAAGAAGCCCCGGCUAACUACGUGCCAGCAGCCGCGGUAAUACGUAGGGGGCAAGCGUUAUCCGGAUUUACUGGGUGUAAAGGGAGCGUAGGUGGUUCGGCAAGUCAGAUGUGAAAGCCCGGGGCUCAACCCCGGGACUGCAUUUGAAACUGCCGUACUAGAGUGCAGGAGAGGUAAGUGGAAUUCCUAGUGUAGCGGUGAAAUGCGUAGAUAUUAGGAGGAACACCAGUGGCGAAGGCGGCUUACUGGACUGUAACUGACACUGAGGCUCGAAAGCGUGGGGAGCAAACA